GCUAAAUUGAGAAUGACUCUAAAAGAAACCAAGAGAUUCCCAAAAGUUCAAUGCACUUCCGUGAGACGUGAGACACUACCCUGACAACUCCUACAGGAAUGUGAAAGAGAAGGACUGAAGAAAUUGGAGCAAUUCUGGAAACAGCUGAAGGCAAGGAAGAAAGGGCCUAUGAGAGAUCUCACCAGAAGAUACACUUUUCAGGAAGAACAUAGUUACUUCCUGGGCUGCUAUUCAUAACUGUAAUGAAGUGCCAAUGCUCGAUGAAGGAAUGAACAUGGAUAUCAGGAAAAGUGAUGUGUUCUGAAGAAGCAGCUUACCCCUUACUUUCUUGACACUCAAAUCAAAUCCAUUUGGUAUCACAGGAGGAAAACAAAGAACACAAGGCAGAAACUGCUCUAAGCUUCAAGCAGGAAGUUGAGAAAUUCAAGAAUGUUUAAG
rnacentral:lncRNA from 1 species